GGCACGUGUACGUCAGCCGCAGUCUUGGAGUCGCCUCAAUUUAAUGGUCUUGUUUAAUUAGCUUAAAAAAAAUGGAGAAACUGAGGAGCAGAGAGAUUUAAUAAGUGGCACAAGACUGCACGGAGGCUUCAGCUCAGAUGGAAUGGCCCUCCAAGUGCCUCUCAUCUUCCUCCCAGGACCAGAGGGCUUGCUGGUGCACCUUCUUCUCUAGGCAAGAGCAAAGUGGAAGAGGAAACACUCAAAGCCUCCUGAGUCCAGAGCUUGCAAACGGGAUCCGGUUGCCAUCAUCCUGAUCUGUCGACCUCAAAGUGUUGUCUCAAGAGUUGCCACUAAAGGGGACAAGGAAAUGAAGAGUUCACACUGACAGGAAGCUAGCUGAAGCAGGAAGUGACUGUUUAGACUUAGCUUGCUGCCUUGGCAUCCAUUUUGUUUGGCCAAGUGGCCUGCCAGUGCCUUAAACUGACACCAGCUAGUCUCCUCGUGCAAGCACGUACCCAAAGAACAGCAUGAAGAGUCACAAAUAAAUGAUGGUGGUUUGACUUGUAAAGAGAUAAAGUCUGUAAAAAUAAAGCAGAGAAGACCUUCUUCAGGUAUCUCAAGGAAAAAUUUGAGUUGUCUGGAUAAACUGGUAACUAUCUUUGCACCUGCCACAGAGAAAUGAUUUCUGCCAACACACUGGAAGAGCUUGGAAGAGUACUGAGCCUCAGAUGAGACAGCAGCCCCAAUUGGUGCCUUAAUUUUCACCUGGUGGGAACCUGAACCGAGGAGCCUGCUAACUCAUGCCUGGACUCCUGAUCCAUGGAAACUAUGAGAUCAUAUA